UACAGAGGUCUCAAGCGUUGUUCGGAUUCAUUGGGCGUAAAGGGUGCGUAGGCGGCGCGGUAAGUCGGGUGUGAAAUCUCGGAGCUUAACUCCGAAACUGCAUUCGAUACUGCCGUGCUUGAGGACUGGAGAGGAGACUGGAAUUUACGGUGUAGCGGUGAAAUGCGUAGAUAUCAGGAGGAACACCAAUGGCGAAAGCAGCUCGCUGGACGGUACUGACGCUGAGGCGCGAAAGCGUGGGGAGCAAACAGG
rnacentral:rRNA from 1 species